rnacentral:rRNA from 1 species
GUCCACGCCGUAAACGAUGGGCACUAGGUGUUCGGGGUAUUGACCCCCUGAGUGCCGCAGCUAACGCAUUAAGUGCCCCGCCUGGGGACUACGGCCGCAAGGUUAAAACUCAAAGGAAUUGACGGGGCCCGCACAAGCGGUGGAGCAUGUGGUUCAAUUCGACGCAACGCGAAGAACCUUACCUGGGCUAGACAACAUCGGACAGCCCCAGAAAUGGGGUCUUCCCGCAAGGGACCGGUGGUUCAGGUGCUGCAUGGCUGUCGU